GACAGAGGUCCCGAGCGUUAGGCGGAAUCACUGGGCUUAAAGCGUGUGUAGGCGGAUUUGUAAGUACCUUGUGAAAUCCCACGGCUUAACCGUGGAACUGCUUGGUAUACUGCUUAUCUUGGGCCAUCUAGGGGCGAGCGGAACAAACGGUGGAGCGGUGAAAUGCGUAGAUAUCGUUUGGAACGCCAAUGGUGAAAACAGGUAGCUGGGAGUGUGCUGACGCUGAGACACGAAAGCCAGGGGAGCAAACGGG
rnacentral:rRNA from 1 species